AUUCUGGUUUAGAGUAAACGCUGGUAGCGUGUCUAAGACAUGCAAGUUGAAUGCUUUUCUUUGUAAAAGCAUAGCGCACGGGUGAGUAAUACUAGACUGUUCUGCCUUUGGGUCUGGAAUAAUUGGAACUUAUUUCUUUUAGAUUUAAGAGUUCAAGAAUACCGGAUAUUUUAAAGAUUUAUCGCCCUUAGAUGAUGUCUAGCCGGAUUAGGUAGUUGGUAGAGUAACAGCCUACCAAGCCAAUGAUCCGUAGUCGGCCUUAACGGGUGUACGGCCACAUCGGGACUGAGACACGGCCCGAGUUCCAUACGGAAUCUGCAGUCAGGAAUCUUGGACAAUGCACGAAAGUGUGAUCCAGCGACGUUACGUGAGGGAAGAAUGCCCAAUUGGCUGUAAACCUCUUUCAUCAGGGAGAAUAAUGAUGUUACCUGAAAAAGAAGUCCCGGCUAACUCUGUGCCAGCAGCCGCGGUAAUACAGGGGGGACGAGUGUUAUUCGGAGUGAUUAGGCGUAAAGGGUCCUUUAAGCGGAUUGAUCAGUUGGGGCAAGUAAGGAAAGAGCUCAACUCUUUUUGUUCCUCAAUACUGUCAUUCUAGAGUUUAUCAGGGUUUAGUAGAACUUACGGAGUAGGGAUAAAAUCCGUUAAUAUCGUAGGGAACACCGGUGGCGAAGGCGACUAUUCAUGAUAAGACUGACGCUGUAAGACGAAGGCGUGGGUAUCGAAUGGGAUUAGAGACCCCAGUAGUCCACGCAGUAAACGAUGAGCGCUAAUUGUUUAAUAACUGAUUUUAUUAAAUAAUAAAGCUAACGCGUUAAGCGCUUCGCCUGGGGAGUACAAUCGCAAGGUUGAAACUCAAAGAAAUUGGCGGGGAUUUAUACAAAUAGCGGAACAUGUGGUUUAAUUCGAUAAUACGCGAAAAACCUUACCGAUCCUUGACAUAUAUUGGUGCUUAGAAUGUGAAUUCUGGUGUUGUCAUGAUUAAUAUAAAUAGACCCUUGUCUUGUUAUAAACUUUGGUUCUAGAGGGUUUACCGCCUCUGUGAUGAUCCUAAAGUUUAUUGGUAUUAAAAAUGUUUCAAAUAUACAGGUGUUGCAUGGCCGUCGUCAGCUCGUGUCGUGAGAUGUUGGGUUAAGUCCUUUAACGAGCGCAACCUCUGUCUUUAGUUGUUCUGAAAGAACUCUAAUGGUACUGCUAUUAAAGAAUUUGAGUAAGGUGGAGAUGACGUCAGGUAAUCAUGGCCCUUAUGGAUCGGGCUACACACGUGUUACAAUGGUAGGUACAAUGAGAAGCAAAGAUGUGAGUCGGAGCAAACCUUUAAAACCUAUCUCAGUUCGGAUCGUAGUCUGCAACUCGACUACGUGAAGGUGGAGUUAUUAGUAAUCGCUGAUCAGCAUGUAGCGGUGAAACAGUUCUUGGAUCUUGCACACACCGCCCGUCACACCCUGGGAGUCGAAAGUAUCUGAAGCUGUCGUUCUUAACCCGUAAGGGAGAGACGCUGUCACGGUAAAGUCUUUGACUGGGGUGAAGUCGUAACAAGGUAGUGGUAGGGGAACCUGCCGCUG
rnacentral:rRNA from 1 species